rnacentral:rRNA from 1 species
UACGGAGGGUGCAAGCGUUAUCCGGAUUCACUGGGUUUAAAGGGUGCGUAGGCGGGUAGGUAAGUCCGUGGUGAAAUCUCUGAGCUUAACUCAGAAACUGCCGUGGAUACUAUUUGCCUUGAAUAUUGUGGAGGUGAGUGGAAUAUGUCAUGUAGCGGUGAAAUGCUUAGAUAUGACAUAGAACACCAAUUGCGAAGGCAGCUCACUACACAAUGAUUGACGCUGAGGCACGAAAGCGUGGGGAUCAAACAGG